CUUGUUAGUGUCCAGUUGGAGGUUGAGCAUGCCAGAGGCACGCGCUCUUUUACCCUUCUUCAGUAUGGGAUAGGGUCCUAUGGAAGACGGAUAUUUGGGCGUGCUAGUUGGAAAAAGACAGAAGGCUGUUAAUAUAGUUCAAGUCUCGUGCAGCUUGUGGUGACAAGCAAAUCAGACGAAUAUGAAGUUGUCUUUUUCAUGUAUCGUCGUUUGCCGUGGUUACGAAUUUGUUGAAGGAAAGUUUGAAACAACAACGGUAAGGUUUGGACAUUUUGAGUAACUCUAGAAGUGAAAUUGUCGUCUUUGAGAAGAAUGACAUUAAUAAGACGACAUGUGAACAACUAACGAAACAGGUCUGGCUUUCUUCCUUUUAAAGCCUCGUAUGCCUAACACAAUCUGCACUGAUUGAUCAUGUUUAGCCUCUAAACUGGAAAUCAGUACUGUAUAGAAAUGCCACGCUCUCUAAUAUUGUCCACCUUAUAUUGUUGUAACACAUUUUUAAUGCGUGUGAGCUUAGAGAUAUUACGAGUUAUUGAGUAACCAGUUGUGAAUAAUACGAACUAAAAGUUUUGCAAUUUCAAUGCAAAGAUCGUUUGAAUGUUUACUUAUGGAAUAUUCGCAAAGGUUUCUCUUGAGUGUUGACUAUUUUAACCCGUGGGAAAAAAAAAGAGAGUAAUUUCUGCACCGAUAAUGAAACGUUUGUUUGUGAAGCUGAAGGCUAUGUGUUAUCGAAAUUGUUGUUGUUAUGUUUGUCUUGUCAGCAACAGGAAAUGAUGUUGCUUUUCCCGUUGUAAGAAGCUGUGACACCUACCUAGUAAGUUCGCUGAAUACGCUUAACGUUCCUUGAUGUUAAGGAAGUAAAUAAAACAUCUUGACGUCACUAAGGCACGGUGGCCAAUGUAUUGUGUGUGCGUGAUUGAAACAGAUGACUCUUACAUCUCAUGACUGCCCACGUGGAUGACGUAUGCUAUAAGUUUAACACAUCUCGACUGUUUAUCAACUACACGAACGUCGAAAUAAUCGGAGAAGACCAGAACUUCCUUUGAGAAUUUUCAGUUAAUCCCGCCUUUUUCUACACUUUUCCAUUCUAGAAGAACACCAAUAGAAUAACCGGACCCUUUGUAAUACAUUGUUUGUUGUCAGUACUGCGGUUCUGUAAGGGGAUAACAGGAGGUGUUAAGCACUUGGAAACAGUCACCGUCUACAAGUCGUUAAUCAAAGGAAUGAAAAGCGCAUUACAGCGAGAAGAGAGCAUUGGUUGACGGGUGGCGUGACCUUUGAUCCUCUUCUUCCUCCCCAGGAGAACCGUCCUAUAAGUCUACGAUCAUGUAACAAAAGUGACUAACCCAUAACUUCGAAAACCAGCUGGAAAAAGAACAAUUUGUAACAUCUACGAGUUUUGGUUAAAGCUGAGAAUCGAAACGGUUCUGUGGUUACGAGAACACCAAGAGUGUACAGUUUUUGAAGAUGUUUCAGACCAAACAGAUGGAAAGAUAGCGUUGUCGGUUUCAUUAUAUUUGUUAUAGAAAGUCAGAUAUUAUUAAUUUUAUGUGUUCUUGUAUAACUCGGUUUCGGUAUCUAAAGAACUACAUGUACAGUAAAUGUACUUGCAGUCUUCUUAAAUGGGGAAUUUGGUAUUUUUUUUUUUUUACAAAUAUUCUACAUAAUUUGAUAUUGAAAAAACAAUUGUUGCUAAAGAGGGACUGUCAGAUUUCAAUGGAAAAGACUGAUACACGAAGGAAAAUCUUAGCUACAGAUACAGUUAUAGUACUGAAGAAAAACGCUCAUAUCGUUUUGUGUAUCCAAACAUUUAACAGUUUCUCAUUUUCGUGGAACGUCAGUAACUUCACAUUUUAAUUCACCUAAUUAAUGCAACCAUAUAUUCACAAAACCAUCCAUAAGUUUGGUAAUAUAGACAACAUCGGGAGAUAUUUUAAUCAAACUCAAUUAGGAGAUAGAUAGCUACUGGAGAGUUACUUUGUCUUUAAUCAUGAUGCGGGGUUGUUUUGGAAGAAAGAAGAAAACAAAGGGGUCUUCUCAAAUGAUGCGGAGUCCUUCUCCGGAUUGUUGGUGUUCCUGUCACAAAAAGGUGAUAGCGUCAUGUGAAUCUUCUGUCAAUUACGAACUGCAAAGCCACGAAGGCUUGAGGCAGUCUCACACCCGGAGACCGAGAAGUCCAGGCACAAGAUCGCUUGAUUACCACAGAAGUCCCAGGUAA
rnacentral:lncRNA from 1 species